rnacentral:lncRNA from 1 species
ACCAGAUGUCACUGCUUAUAUAAUACAUUCUUUUUCUAGUGAAAACUACAUUUUCUUAUUAGCAAUAAUUCAAGUACCGUCAAAACCUCUCCUCAUCCAAAAAAGGAAAAAAAAUUGAUGGUGUGAUCCAAGGGAGGGAUAAAAAUUAUCAAGAACUUGAUGAUUGGGGGACGAGAGAUUGAGACAAAGAUUCAAGCUUAAUUCGAGCCCACAAGACCGUGCAAACACUUUUUCGAGCUAUGGAGUCGAUAGGGAUGAGUGUAACAAGCCAAAUAACAACUUACAUGUUGGUCAUGAAGGCAAAAUCAUAUUUGAUGCAUUGGAUUCAAGUUUCGAAAGAUAUAUAGAAAAAACGAGUAGCAUGGAUUAAAACAGGCAUAACUUCCAGCUCGAGUGUCGAAUUUUCGCCCAUGAGUGCAAUCCGGAAUCGUCACAAAAUUCUACACAAGGAGAAAGAUGUUUUAAAAAUAAAGCUAUUCGACUGUAUAGCUUAAAAGCCGUGCGACUGCAUACCCUUAUACUGAGACAAAAUUGAAGCCCAAGGAAUGAAUUAUGCGAUUGCACCUAAUAUAACUACGUGAUCGCAUAGUAUAAUUCUGGAAACGAAUUUUUCAAUUUUCGCGAAGUCUUUUAUUUUUGUUAAAACUCUAAUUUUUGCUAACUUUUGUAUUCUUUAGGACUUUUAUUCCGUUUUAAACUUUGUUUCAAAGUUUAUUAUUCUUCAUUGUAAAAAUAAAACUUUUGAAGAAAUUUCUCAAUAGGCAAUUUGCUUCCAAUUCUUUUGUUCUUGAUUGAACAAAUUAUCGAACUUAUCAAAAUCAUUAUCUUGUAGCGUUCAAAAUUGCCGGGUGAGAUUCUUAAAUCUUGUAAUCAAGAGGUCAACAUAUCAAUUGAUUGUUGGUUGCUUGAUUCAAUAUUUUUAGGUCAAAUCCAAAACCUUGGUUUAACUGGCUUUCUUGAGGGUUCAAUCCCGUUGUGAGUUUCGUAGCUAUCGUUGCUAUGCGAGUUCACAUCGAAUAAGGUGCAUGUAGUUAGAUUCAAGAUUUUUAUACCUUUCUUUUACCUAAUUUAUCCUUUACAUAACUUUCACACUAACUUUGUUAUGGUGUUACUUCAAUUGAAUAAUAUUUCCCAAGUUGCGGUGUUGAUAUACAAAGUAAUUUUUUGCUUGCACAUUUUUCCAAUCAAUAGUCGGUUGUUGCCUUCUAAUUACCAUCAUAUUGUUUUAGCCUCAAACUUUGUCAAUUUUUCUAAUUUUCAUGCCGAGAUUGCACAAAUUAUUUUACAUCAUUAAACUUAUGAGCUUGCUUUAAUG